rnacentral:lncRNA from 1 species
AUUCCAUGCUUGGUUGAUUUUAAAUUAACAAGAACAUCAUUCAAGUUUUUAUGCGAAGAAUUAAAUUUAUCUAAUGUGCCUUUAAGUCUAGCUACUUCAUUCUUAAGAAGCACACAAGAAGAACAGUUUCUAGUAGAACCUUCAGGUUUGCGAAGAAUUAAAUUUAUCUAAUGUGCCUUUAAGUCUAGCUACUUCAUUCUUAAGAUGCACACAAGAGAUACAAUUUCUAGUAGAACUUUCAGGUUUAUCGGAACUUCUUUUUCCAUAAAACUUGUUUUCCUCUUUUAGCUUCUCAUUAUCUAAAACCAGUUUUUCUAACUCUUUUUCUUUUAAUGAAAACUGUGUUUGAAAAUCUUUUUCUUUUAGAGAAGCAUUUUCUUUUACACUUUUGACUGUUUUUGAAGCUCUAAUAAAUUCAGUAUAUAAUUCAUCAAA